rnacentral:rRNA from 1 species
GAUGAACGCUGGCGGCGUGCCUAAUACAUGCAAGUCGAGCGAACAGAUGAGGUACUUGCUCCUCUGACGUUAGCGGCGGACGCGUGAGUAACACGUGGCUAACCUACCUAUAUGACUGGGAUAACUUCGGGAAACCGGAGCUAAUACCGGAUAAUAUAUUGAACCGCAUGGUUCAAUAGUGAAAGACGGUUUUGCUGUCACUUAUAGAUGGAUCCGCGCCGCAUUAGCUAGUUGGUAAGGUAACGGCUUACCAAGGCAACGAUGCGUAGCCGACCUGAGAGGAUGAUCGGCCACACUGGAACUGAGACACGGUCCAGACUCCUACGGGAGGCAGCAGUAGGGAAUCUUCCGCAAUGGGCGAAAGCCUGACGGAGCAACGCCGCGUGAGUGAUGAAGGUCUUCGGAUCGUAAAACUCUGUUAUCAGGGAAGAACAAAUGUGUACGUAACUAUGCACGUCAUGACGGUACCUAAACAGAAAGCAACGGCUAACUACGUG